rnacentral:rRNA from 1 species
AUGAACGCUGGCGGCGUGCCUAAUACCUGCAAGUCGCGCGCACGGACGAGAAGCUUGCUUCUCUGAUGUUAGCGGCGGACGGGUGAGUAACACGUGGAUAACCUACCUAUAAGACUGGGAUAACUUCGGGAAACCGGAGCUAAUACCGGAUAAUAUUUUGAACCGCAUGGUUCAAAAGUGAAAGACGGUCUUGCUGUCACUUAUAGAUGGAUCCGCGCUGCAUUAGCUAGUUGGUAAGGUAACGGCUUACCAAGGCAACGAUGCAUAGCCGACCUGAGAGGGUGAUCGGCCACACUGGAACUGAGACACGGUCCAGACUCCUACGGGAGGCAGCAGUAGGGAAUCUUCCGCAAUGGGCGAAAGCCUGACGGAGCAACGCCGCGUGAGUGAUGAAGGUCUUCGGAUCGUAAAACUCUGUUAUUAGGGAAGAACAUAUGUGUAAGUAACUGUGCACAUCUUGACGGUACCUAAUCAGAAAGCCACGGCUAACUACGUG